UCGUUCAGAUGGCUUGAGCGUGUAAACGGUCCUUUAUUUCUAAUUUUGUAACCAGUCUAAUUUUUGUACUCAAUAAACGUUUUUUUUACAAAUUCUCCGUCUUCAAAAUUAUAAUUGGCGCUGCGAACAGGAUAGUGUCGCGAUAUUAGUUCGAAUUUUAAUUCGUUAAGACGCUAUUCGACGGGUCUUUAUUGAUGCUACUCCCGGCAAUCAUUGAUCCAGUAAUUUGAAGACAACUCCUUAGACGAAACGUUGAGAGUGUGCAGAAUUUGGUCAAGAAAAGCUAACGACCUCCCCAGACAGCAAGUACUUGAUUCCUACCUGACGAGAGACGUAUUUGGUACUACCAGUGCAAAACAGCGAAAUCUUUAUGGGUACUCCCUUGAUCCUGUAUUUGCUCACAGUGCUGCCGUUUCAAGUUCUGCUCCUGCAGGUAGUUCCCAUCCCUAACAAUGGAUACUUCCUGGAAAAUAUUAACAACAACACCUUAGUUUUAGAAACAUAUCAUACUACCUAUAUUUCAUUUAAUUUAAGUAUUAUUCAGACUACAUUAACCCAUUUACUCACUAAUCAAUUAAUCCUAGAAAAUGAACUCAUAGAAUCUUUUGAAAAUAAUUAUCAUCUGAAGCUUCAAUUAAACCAUUCUUAUAUUCAAUUAAAUAAUGUAUUUGAUAAUUUUCACAAAUUAACUCAAAGCGAAUUAAGUCUAAGGCAACGUAGAGGGUUGAUUAAUUAUUUAGAAUCCACAAUAAAAUUUAUUACAGGCAACUUAGAUCAAAAUGACUUGGAUAAUGUUAACAAACAUUUUGAAGUAAUAAAGCUAAAUCAAAUUAAAUCAAUUAAAUUCAUUUGCUGGUUACGUUACGGAAAAAAUUUCAGAAAGAUAUUUUAUCUAUUUUUAAUGAUUCCCAAACAUUGAGUAAGGCAGUAAAUAAACUUUCCAAUCUUAUAGAUUUAAAUAUGCAAGUUCAAAGUCACUCUACAAAUAUUACUAAUAGAUACUUAUGUAAAUAAACUCUUAAAUACAAUAACAUUUGCUUUAACUAAUGUUCUAGAUAUCAGUCUAUUCAGCUUAAAUGAUUUUAAACAAAUUUGGACUUUCUUAAAAACCCAUUACUCUAAUCAGCAAAUAUGGCCUUUGGAUCGUAUUUAUGAACUUAUUUCAAUUUUGUCAAGCUGGACUUAUUCAAACAGACAAGGAAGCAAUCUUGGUUGUUAAAAUUCCAUUAUUUACCAAAACCCUGUGUAAAUUGCAAAUUAUAUAUCCUGUACCCACAAAAGAACACUUGAUUUUGAUACCACCUAGUGAAUAUUAUUGUAAUGACUUAUGCUUUCAAAAGUGUAUCAGCGUUAAUAAUAAAUGGUUAUGCAGAAAUCAAAUUUAUAAUGCAAAUAAUAUUAAUAACCAUAAAGUUGCUAAGGUUGUAAAUAAUUAUGAUAUUGCUCUUUUCACUCGAAACAAACAUUUGUUAUAUUGUACUAAUGUAUCUUCGGAAAUAAUUGAAAAUUGUAACGACAUAACCAAACAGCUAGUAAGAAAUUGUAAUUUAAUAUUAAGUAAAUGUGAAAUCAUCAAUGGAACACAAAAAUUUUCCAACAUAAUUUUCAAUAUUAGCAUCAGUCAGGAGAAACUAGAUUUUCAUCCUUUCGCUAAAAAAACUAUUCAUUUAAGGUUGGAUCACUUAACAAAUCCAAUAGAAAUGCAAAAGGAUUUGAUGGAUUCUCUACAAUAUUCCAAUCUUCCAACGAACCAUGAUGUUUUACAAUAUUCCUUAACUGGCAUUGUCGUUUGUAUAAUUGUUUUAGUCAUAGCCGCCCACAUAGUUGUUUACAGAAAGACCAUUAGGGACCAUCCGUCUCCAAACGAAUCCUCCAAAAAAAUAAUCAACGAGGACGUUGAGAUUUCUUAAGGAGGUUGGAGUUAUAGGCCCAAUACGACCCUGGCUAUACAAGGAACCUUUGACCAGGAUGUCACCAAAUCAUUGCGUUAUCUUAAUCGACAUUAGAUAAAUAAGAGUACCCAGAAUGUCAACACAUCAUUAUGAGAUCUUAUCGACAUUAGAUUAUAAGAGUUAACUUGUCUAGAUUUAUUCACUUUUAGAGUCAGUCUUAUUUCUAACUUUGUAGUAGUAACCAGUCUAAUUUUUGUACUCAAUAAACGUUUUUUUURCAAAU